CCUACGGGGGGCAGCAGUGAGGAAUAUUCCGCAAUGGACGAAAGUCUGACGGAGCGACGCCGCGUGAACGAAGAAGGCCGAAAGGUUGUAAAGUUCUUUUGAACUGGAAGAAAAAGUGUUGUAGGGAAUGACAGCAUGGUGACGGUACAGUUUGAAUAAGCAACGGCUAAUUACGUGCCAGCAGCCGCGGUAACACGUAAGUUGCGAGCGUUGUUCGGAAUUAUUGGGCGUAAAGGGCAUGUAGGCGGAAUUGCAAGCCUGAUGUGAAAUCCCUGGGCUUAACCCAGGAACUGCAUUGGGAACUGCAAAACUUGAAUUACUGAGGGGUAACUAGAAUUCCAAGUGUAGGGGUGAAAUCUGUAGAUAUUUGGAAGAAUACCAAUGGCGAAGGCAAGUUGCUAGCAGAUAAUUGACGCUGAGGUGCGAAAGUGCGGGGAGCAAACAGGCUUAGAUACCCGUGUAGUC
rnacentral:rRNA from 1 species